UUAUGGAUUGUGUAGGAUUGCCUUACCAACUCUUGUUACUUCAUAAUGAAAAAACCAUAUCCAGAAAUUUUGUAACUUGACUCGGUGGUUUUUAAGGAAACUCUUUUAUAGUUUGGGCCUUGGGGCUCAAUGUUUUAUAUGUAAA
rnacentral:tRNA from 1 species